UGAGAGGUUAACCCCCCACACUGGUACUGAGACACGGACCAGAUUCCUACGGGAGGCAGCAGUGAGGAAUAUUGGUCAAUGGACGCAAGUCUGAACCAGCCAUGCCGCGUGCAGGAUGACGGCUCUAUGAGUUGUAAACUGCUUUUGUACGAGGGUAAACGCAGAUACGUGUAUCUGUCUGAAAGUAUCGUACGAAUAAGGAUCGGCUAACUCCGUGCCAGCAGCCGCGGUAAUACGGAGGAUUCAAGCGUUAUCCGGAUUUAUUGGGUUUAAAGGGUGCGUAGGCGGUUUGAUAAGUUAGAGGUGAAAUUUCGGGGCUCAACCCUGAACGUGCCUCUAAUACUGUUGAGCUAGAGAGUAGUUGCGGUAGGCGGAAUGUAUGGUGUAGCGGUGAAAUGCUUAGAGAUCAUACAGAACACCGAUUGCGAAGGCAGCUUACCAAACUAUAUCUGACGUUGAGGCACGAAAGCGUGGGGAGCAAACAGGAUUAGAUACCCUGGUAGUCCACGCAGUAAACGAUGAUAACUCGUUGUCGGCGAUACACAGUCGGUGACUAAGCGAAAGCGAUAAGUUAUCCACCUGGGGAGU
rnacentral:rRNA from 1 species